rnacentral:rRNA from 1 species
GACGAACGCUGGCGGCGUGCCUAAUACAUGCAAGUAGAACGCUGAAGGAGGAGCUUGCUUCUCUGGAUGAGUUGCGAACGGGUGAGCAACGCGUAGGUAACCUGCCUGGUAGCGGGGGAUAACUAUUGGAAACGAUAGCUAAUACCGCAUAAGAGUAGAUGUCGCAUGACAUUUGCUUAAAAGGUGCAAUUGCAUCACUACCAGAUGGACCUGCGUUGUAUUAGCUAGUUGGUGAGGUAACGGCUCACCAAGACAACGAUACAUAGCCGACCUGAGAGGGGAAUAGCCCACGCUGGGACUGAGACACGGCCCAGACUCCUACGAGUGACAGCAGUAGGGGAUCUUCGGCAAUGGACGGAAGUCGGACCGAUCAACGCCGCGUGAGUGAAGAAGGUUUUCGGAUCGUAAAGCUCUGUUGUAAGAGAAGAUCGUGUGUGAGAGUGGAAAGUGCACACUGUGACGGUAUCUUACCAGAAAGGGACGGCUAACUACGUG